GGAGGAAUAUUGGACAAUGGGCGCAAGCCUGAUCCAGCCAUGCCGCGUGAGUGAAGAAGGCCUUCGGGUUGUAAAGCUCUUUUAGAUGUGAAGAUAAUGACGGUAACAUCAGAAAAAGCCCCGGCUAAAUUCGUGCCAGCAGCCGCGGUAAUACGAAUGGGGCAAGCGUUGUUCGGAAUCACUGGGCUUAAAGCGUGCGUAGGCGGAUCUGCAAGUCAGAAGUGAAAUCCCCGGGCUUAACCCGGGAACU
rnacentral:rRNA from 1 species